GAUGAACGCUCGCGGGAGGCCUAACACAUGCAAGCCGAGCGGUAGAGUCUCUUCGGAGACUUGAGAGCGGCGCACGGGUGCGGAACACGUGUGCAACCUGCCUUUAUCUGGGGGAUAGCCUUUCGAAGGGAAGAUUAAUACCCCAUAAUAUACUGGAUGGCAUCAUCUGGUAUUGAAAACUCCGGUGGAUAGAGAUGGGCACGCGCAAGAUUAGAUAGUUGGUGAGGUAACGGCUCACCAAGUCAGCGAUCUUUAGGGGGCCUGAGAGGGUGAUCCCCCACACUGGUACUGAGACACGGACCAGACUCCUACGGGAGGCAGCAGUGAGGAAUAUUGGACAAUGGGUGAGAGCCUGAUCCAGCCAUCCCGCGUGAAGGACGACGGCCCUAUGGGUUGUAAACUUCUUUUGUAGAGGGAUAAACCUAGAUACGUGUAUCUAGCUGAAGGUACUAUACGAAUAAGCACCGGCUAACUCCGUG
rnacentral:rRNA from 1 species